UUUCUUUAAUGCCAAACUAGUAGAAUUGAAGACAAGCGCCAUCUCUGAAUGCCUUUGACAUUCCAGAGAUAAUUUUUAAAAUUUAUUAUCUCUUAACUCUUAUGAUAAAUUUCUCUUCAUUUUACAAAAUAUUCUAAUCUUUCUAUUUUUUAAGUUAUUUUCAAUAAAUUAUUAUUAUUAUAAUUAUAAUAAUAACUUUUAUGUUUAUGUUAAUAUUGUUAUGUUAAAUAUUUUUUUAAAAUACGUGUUUUUUUCUCUUGAGUUUCUUUUAUUAAUUUUUAUGUUGAUAUUUUAUGUUUAUAUUAAUUUAAUCUUUUAAAUUUAUUUAUUUUUAAGUUAAAUUUAAUUCUUACGUUUCAAUUAAUUUAGUUUUAUAUUAAAUUUAGUUUUUAUAUUAUUUUCUUUUUUUAUUUUUUCAAUUUUCAUGAAUUUAUUUCAGUUUUUUGUUAAAUUUCUUUUUUGUGUUUUUCUUUUAUUUAAAUUUAAUUAAUCUUUAUAUUGAAUUCCUUCCUUGUAUUGUAAUUAUUUUACUAUCUUCGUUAAUUUAAUAAUUUUAUUAAUAAUAAAUUUUUUAUUUUUCCAAUAAUUAUAUCUGUAUAAGAUUCUAAGCAACAACAAUUAAUAUAUCUUAUUUAUAUAUUAUAUUUCAUUUUUCGCGCGGUUUUUAAAUGAAAAAAAUAAGCAUUGUGAAUCAGCCAAUCAGAACGUUGUUUAAUUCGAGACGCGAAUCGAAUCAGUGCGCAUCAUACUGCGCAUCAUACUGCGCAUGGCGUCAGUCUACAGUUGAAAAUUGUGUGGAGUGGACGCAUCGUCGCGAAUUCGGAUUACGCAAUUUAAUUGGUCAUAGUAGAUCUCGAAGGCGGGAAAAAUUCCAAUAUGGACGCCAUGUCUUUCUUGGUGACUUUCUUUCGUGAAAAUAUUUGUGACCGCGCGCAAUGCGGUUAAUAGAAUCAGUAUUUGCUUCGUCAUAGUAUAUUUUUAAUAUUUUUUAGAGCACAAUAGCUCUGAUUAAAUUUAAUUAGAAUAAUCAAACGCGACUAUAGAAGCAGUGUUUGUUCGCCGAUUAUAAUUUAUGUACGGACGCGUUAUUAGUUUCUUAUUUUUAUUUUUUUUUCUUUUUAUAAAUAUUCGUUUUCGGUAUAGGGUAGAAUCAGUGUUUCUCUCAAGAGAAUACAGCGAUCAUCCACCACGCGAAGAGAUGCUUAUCAUCUUUAUGAAGAUUUUUCUUGGAUUUUAUUCUUAAAAAAUAUUUGUGACCACGCGCAAUGUGGUUAUAUAGAAUCAGUGUUUGCUUCGUAACAGUAUUUUGAAUAUAUUUUUAAAGCGCAAUAGCUUUAAUUAAAUUUAAUAUAUAUAUAUAUAUAUAAUUGCACGCGAAAUUAGAAUCAGUGCUUGUUCGCCGAUUAGACAGAAUAUAUACGAACGCGUUAUUAGUUUCUUAUUUUGUUAUUUUUUUAUUUUAAAUAUUCGUUUUCGGUAUAGGGUAGAGUCAGUGCUUCUCUCAAGAGAAUAAAGUGAUCAUCCAUCACGCGAAGAGAUUUCUUCUUCAUCUUCCUACAUGAUGACAACCUUCUUCUCGAUGACUUCUGGGCUACAAUAACAGGGAAGGCGUUCGUCGCAUCAUAUGGUGAGUCGCAUGCUUUUUGGUUCCUCCGGUCACUCAACCAUGUCGUAGGAUGAAAGAUCCGAAUCGACACGAGUGAUUGGUUGUAUACGUAGAAUUUUGCACGAGCACAAUGACCGCGGGUAUUUACUUAUAAUAAAUACCCGUGAGUAGUAACAAUUAUUUUUUUGUGUUUUAUUUAUUAGUUCAGGCUAGAGUCUUCUUGCAUUUCGCGUUUUUGAUUAAUACUAUUUUGAUUAAUUUAUUAAAUGUUUUAUUAAUAUAUUGAUUAAAUGUUUAGUAAUUUUCUAAUGUCAAAACGUAUAAUAAUUAUCAGUAUAAUAAUAAUUAGUAUAUAACAUAAUAAUAUAAUAAUAAUAAUAAUAUAACAAUACUUAGGUUGAAUUUCUCUAAUUCAAAAUCCUUCAGAGUAACAUUUUAUGUUAUUUGAUCAACUUGAUUAUUGUGAUAUACAUAAUAAUUUACAUAAUAAUUUCAUAUAACUUCAAUAUAUGAUUUACAACACUAGUGAAUAAUAAAGUUCAAUUUUUAUUCGUACAAAUGUGAAUUAAAUUUUAUGCAAGAAGACAUUUCGCGACAGGCAGAUUUUAGAAUCAGAGCAAUAAGUUUUGAAUAUUAUUCUUGUGUCUUUAAAAAUAUGCUCUGAUGAAGGAAUCGUCUGAGGAUAUUUUUAUUAAUAUUUAUAUAAAUUAGUUAAAUUACAAUGAAUUCUAAUUUCUUUUUUUAAUUCAAUAUUAAAUAUUUAAUAUGCUAAAAUUUUAAUAAUUUAUUCAAUUAAUAAAAUAAAGUAUAAAGUAGAGUUACAAAUAAUUUGAAAUAUAAUAUGAAGAAUAUUAUGCAAAAUGCAAAGUCAAAGAAUAUUAGUCCGUUAGAUACAUAGAUGGAUAUAUUAAUAUCUUUUUAGCUCAGGAUUUUCAGAUUUAACCCUUUCCGUGUUCAUUGCCAGGAACUCAUUCACGUGCCCAGGUGCUACUUGAAUGAGGGAGAGGCAAUGAGUAUGAUGACUUUAGUUCAUAAGCUAAUACAAAUUUUUUAGCGACUGACGAUGCGUUAGUGUAUCGUGCACGAUGUAUUUUCCACAUUGUGUGUGUAUAGUUAGGCUGUGGAAUUGCGUCGUUUCAAUUAUUAUUUCCUUCAUUAUUUAAUCACAAUUUACGAACAUAUUCGCAAUUAAAUAUUGCGAAUAACUCAUAAAUAAUAAGACUAAUUAUUAAUCUUUAUUCUCAAAGUUACAAUGAUAUUUUAAUGAUAAUUUUGGUUCACAAUAAUGGAACUAUUCACUCUAGUUUUUUAGAAAACAUUACGUAUUCAUAAAUAUUCAGAAUUAAAAUAUAGAUACGCGCGUUUUUGUCGCGUUUCACGCAAUGGUCGCUAGCCAUCGUCAGUCGAUUUCAGAAAAAGGUACGUAAAGUUAGAGUGUGCGAGUAGUGUGCCAAGCUCGGGUGUCGGAGGUGUCCCGGGACGCUUUCCCUAGUGUAGGCAUUUGCGCCCGAGUGUUAUGCGUGAGAAUCGUGGAAUGAAUGUGUUGGUAUGCCUGUUUUGCCAUUUUUUUAAAUAUAGGGCUAGGUAGGAUAGGUAGUAUACUUCUGGUGUGUCUGUUUAAUUAUAAGUAGGUAGGGCCGGGCAGGUUGUCACAGUCUCUGAUCGGGUAGGCGCGUUUUUCGCGUGACAACCUGUUUCAGGAAAUAAAAUUUGAUAAAUCGAGGGCAAAGCUGAGAUAAAUGGACGAUUACGCCAUUUGUCUCUGGCUUUUCUCAUUGAUUUUUCGAAUUUCGCGGUCGCGGUCGCGAUUUGCUUUCGAAACGAACGUUGCGCUUGAGAUUCUGCGCAUGUACGAAGAACGAUCAUUGCGAUCGUUGAUCGUCCAUGUGCUCUUAGCUUUCGCGAUUUAGUCCUUUUUUUUUCUUUUUUUCUUUGGUUUGCGAUUAGUGAAUCUCGAGCCUAGAUUUAAGUUUCAGCGGGCAUUGCGCCCGAAGGAGGAAGACCGAAGAGGCCCGACAAACUGUCACGAAGAGGGCUGCAACGAAUGGCUUCUCAUCUUUUGGAUCUUG